GCCAUUGUGGCAUAGUGGUUUGAGUGUUGGACUAUGACUCUGGAAACCAGGGUUUGAUUCCCUACUUGGCC